GAUUGUUUCAGCAGCCGCGGUAAUACAUAGGGUGCAAGCGUUGUCCGGAUUUAUUGGGCGUAAAGAACUCGUAGGUGGUUUGUUACGUCGGAUGUGAAACUCUGGGGCUCAACCCCAGACCUGCAUCCGAUACGGGCAGACUAGAGUGUGGUAGGGGAGACUGGAAUUCCUGGUGUAGCGGUGGAAUGCGCAGAUAUCAGGAGGAACACCAAUGGCGAAGGCAGGUCUCUGGGCCAUUACUGACACUGAGGAGUGAAAGUGUGGGGAGCGAACAGGAUUAGAUACCCUGGUAGUCCACACCGUAAACGAUGGACGCUAGUUGUGGGGACCUUCCACGGUUUCUGCGACGCAGCUAACGCAUUAAGCGUCCCGCCUGGGGAGUACGAUCGCAAGAUUAAAACUCAAAGGAAUUGACUGGGCCCCGCACAAGCAGCGGAGCAUGCGGCUUAAUUCGACGCAACGCGAAGAACCUUACCAAGGCUUGACAUAUAGGGAAAAGCAGCAGAGAUGUUGUGUCCGCAAGGGCCCUAUACAGGUGGUGCAUGGUUGUCGUCAGCUCGUGUCGUGAGAUGUUGGGUUAAGUCCCGCAACAAGCGCAACCCUCAUUCUGUGUUGCCAGCAUUUAGUUGGGGACUCACAGGAGACUGCCGUGGUUAACACGGAGGAAGGUGGGGAUGACGUCAAAUCAUCAUGCCCCUUAUGUCUUGGGCUGCACGCAUGCUACAAUGGCUGGUACAAACGGCUGCAAUACCGCAAGGUUGAGCGAAUCCGAAAAAGCCAGUCUCAGUUCGGAUUGGGGUCUGCAACUCGACCCCAUGAAGUCGGAGUUGCUAGUAAUCGUAGAUCAGCAACGCUACGGUGAAUACGUUCCCGGGGCUUGUACACACCGCCCGUCAAACAAUCAC
rnacentral:rRNA from 1 species